CCUACGGGAGGCAGCAGUGGGGGAUAUUGCACAAUGGGGGGAACCCUGAUGCAGCGACGCCGCGUGGGUGAAGAAGCGCCUCGGCGCGUAAAGCCCUGUCAGCAGGGAAGAAAAUGACGGUACCUGAAGAAGAAGCCCCGGCUAACUACGUGCCAGCAGCCGCGGUAAUACGUAGGGGGCAAGCGUUAUCCGGAUUUACUGGGUGUAAAGGGGGCGCAGACGGCGAUGCAAGCCAGGAGUGAAAGCCCGGGGCCCAACCCCGGGACUGCUCUUGGAACUGCGUGGCUGGAGUGCAGGAGGGGCAGGCGGAAUUCCUGGGGUAGCGGUGAAAUGCGUAGAUAUCAGGAGGAACACCGGCGGCGAAGGCGGCCUGCUGGACCGCGACUGACGUUGAGGCUCGAAAGCGUGGGGAGCGAACAGGAUUAGAUACCCCAGUAGUC
rnacentral:rRNA from 1 species